GACGAACGCUGGCGGCGUGCUUAACACAUGCAAGUCGAACGAAGAGCGAUGGAAGCUUGCUUCUAUCAAUCUUAGUGGCGAACGGGUGAGUAACGCGUAAUCAACCUGCCCUUCAGAGGGGGACAACAGUUGGAAACGACUGCUAAUACCGCAUACGAUCUAAUCUCGGCAUCGAGGAUAGAUGAAAGGUGGCCUCUACAUGUAAGCUAUCACUGAAGGUGGGGAUUGCGUCUGAUUAGCUAGUUGGAGGGGUAACGGCCCACCAAGGCGAUGAUCAGUAGCCGGUCUGAGAGGAUGAACGGCCACAUUGGGACUGAGACACGGCCCAGACUCCUACGGGAGGCAGCAGUGGGGAAUCUUCCGCAAUAGACGAAAGUCUGACGGAGCAACGCCGCGUGAGUGAUGACGGCCUUCGGGUUGUAAAGCUCUGUUAAUCGGGACGAAAGGCCUUCUUGCGAAUAGUGAGAAGGAUUGACGGUACCGGAAUAGAAAGCCACGGCUAACUACGUG
rnacentral:rRNA from 1 species